rnacentral:tRNA from 1 species
UUAUAAAAUAAUAAUAUUUAAUUUUACAAUGAAAAUGUAAUGUUUUAAUUAAACUAUAU